rnacentral:rRNA from 1 species
GUCGAACGGCAGCACGGGUGCUUGCACCUGGUGGCGAGUGGCGAACGGGUGAGUAAUAUAUCGGAACGUACCUUAUUGUGGGGGAUAACGCAGCGAAAGCUGUGCUAAUACCGCAUAAUCCCUAAGGGGGAAAGCGGGGGACCGUAAGGCCUCGCGCAAUUAGAGCGGCCGAUACCUGAUUAGCUAGUUGGUGAGGUAAAGGCUCACCAAGGCAACGAUCAGUAGCUGGUCUGAGAGGACGAUCAGCCACACUGGGACUGAGACACGGCCCAGACUCCUACGGGAGGCAGCAGUGGGGAAUUUUGGACAAUGGGGGCAACCCUGAUCCAGCAAUGCCGCGUGAGUGAAGAAGGCCUUCGGGUUGUAAAGCUCUUUUGUCAGGGAAGAAACAGCAGCUCUAACACAGUCUGCGAAUGACGGUACCUGAAGAAUAAGCACCGGCUAACUACGUGCCAGCAGCCGCAGUAAUACGUAGGGUGCAAGCGUUAAUCGGAAUUACUGGGCGUAAAGCGUGCGCAGGCGGUUAUACAAGACAGGCGUGAAAUCCCCGGGCUUAACCUGGGAAUGGCGUCUGUGACUGUAUGACUAGAGUGUGUCAGAGGGGGGUAGAAUUCCACGUGUAGCAGUGAAAUGCGUAGAUAUGUGGAGGAAUACCAAUGGCGAAGGCAGCCCCCUGGGAUAACACUGACGCUCAUGCACGAAAGCGUGGGGAGCAAACAGG